rnacentral:rRNA from 1 species
CCUACGGGCGGCAGCAGUGAGGAAUAUUGGUCAAUGGACGAGAGUCUGAACCAGCCAAGUAGCGUGAAGGAUGACUGCCCUAUGGGUUGUAAACUUCUUUUAUAUGGGAAUAAAAUGUUCCACGUGUGGGUUUUUGUAUGUACCAUAUGAAUAAGGAUCGGCUAACUCCGUGCCAGCAGCCGCGGUAAUACGGAGGAUCCGAGCGUUAUCCGGAUUUAUUGGGUUUAAAGGGAGCGUAGGUGGAUUGUUAAGUCAGUUGUGAAAGUUUGCGGCUCAACCGUAAAAUUGCAGUUGAUACUGGCAGUCUUGAGUACAGUAGAGGUGGGCGGAAUUCGUGGUGUAGCGGUGAAAUGCUUAGAUAUCACGAAGAACUCCGAUUGCGAAGGCAGCUCACUGGACUGCAACUGACACUGAGGCUCGAAAGUGUGGGUAUCAAACAGGAUUAGAUACCCCAGUAGUC